ensembl:snRNA U6 U6 spliceosomal RNA
GUGCUCGCUUCGGCAGCACAUAUACUAAAAUUAGAACGAUACAGAGAAGAUUAGCAUGGCCCCUGUGCAAGGAUGACACGCAAAUUCAUGAAGCAUCCCAUAUUUUU